AACGAACGCUGGCGGCAUGCCUAACACAUGCAAGUCGAACGAGAUCUUCGGGUCUAGUGGCGCACGGGUGCGUAACGCGUGGGAAUCUGCCCUUUGGUUCGGAAUAACAGUUGGAAACGACUGCUAAUACCGGAUGAUGACGAAAGUCCAAAGAUUUAUCGCCAGAGGAUGAGCCCGCGUAGGAUUAGCUAGUUUGUGUGGUAAAGGCGCGCCAAGGCGACGAUCCUUAGCUGGUCUGAGAGGAUGAUCAGCCACACUGGGACUGAGACACGGCCCAGACUCCUACGGGAGGCAGCAGUGGGGAAUAUUGGACAAUGGGCGAAAGCCUGAUCCAGCAAUGCCGCGUGAGUGAUGAAGGCCUUAGGGUUGUAAAGCUCUUUUACCCGGGAUGAUAAUGACAGUACCGGGAGAAUAAGCCCCGGCUAACUCCGUGCCAGCAGCCGCCGUAA
rnacentral:rRNA from 1 species